rnacentral:rRNA from 1 species
CACGUAGUUAGCCGGGGCUUCUUCUUCAGGUACCGUCAUUAUCGUUCCUGUUGACAGAGCUUUACGCGCCGAGGCGCUUCUUCACUCACGCGGCGUCGCUGCAUCAGGGUUUCCCCCAUUGUGCAAUAUUCCCCACUGCUGCCUCCCGUAGGAGUUUGGGCCGUGUCUCAGUCCCAAUGUGGCCGUCCACCCUCUCAGGCCGGCUACCGAUCGUCGCUUUGGUGGGCCGUUACCCCGCCAACUGGCUAAUCGGACGCGGGCUCAUCCCGUACCACCGGAGUUUUCAAGGCCGGGGCAUGCGCCCCGCCUGUCAUGCGGUGUUAGCACCUGUUUCCAGGUGUUACUCCCCCGGGUACGGGGCAGGAUUGCCCACGCGUUACUCCACCCGUCCGCCACUAGGCCGCCGGUCCCGCCCCGGGUUCCGGUAAACCUUCCCCGGGCCUUACGCGGCCCCGUUCGACUUGCACUGUGUUAGGCUACCGCCGCCAGCCGUUCAUCCCCGAGCCCAGGACUCAAACUCU